CAUAAUAUUACGGGGGGCCGGACCCUCAAGUCUUCUGUCUUCAAACCGCAGUGGGCUUGAGACCCGCCCUGUCUGAUAUUCUACCCAUGUCUUUUGCGUACUUUAUGUUUCCUUGGUAGGCUUGCCUGCCGAUAGGACAACUUUUAAACCUUUUUGUAAUUGCAAUCAGCGUCUGAAAAAAACUUUUAAAGUUA
rnacentral:misc_RNA from 1 species